UACGGAGGGUGCAAACGUUGCUCGGAAUCAUUGGGCGUAAAGCGCACGUAGGCGGUUCGGUAAGUCGGGUGUGAAAGCCCUCGGCUCAACUGAGGAAGUGCAUUCGAAACUACCGGACUUGAGUAUGGAAGAGGGUCGCGGAAUUCCCGGUGUAGAGGUGAAAUUCGUAGAUAUUCGGAAGAACACCAGUGGCGAAGGCGACUUACUGGACACAUAUUGACGCUGAGGUGCGAAAGCGUGGGGAGCAAACAGG
rnacentral:rRNA from 1 species